rnacentral:rRNA from 1 species
AGUGAACGCUGGCGGUAGGCCUAACACAUGCUAGUCGAACGGCAGCACAGUAAGAGCUUGCUCUUACGGGUGGCGAGUUGCGGACGGGUGCGGAAUACAUCGGAAUCUACUUUUUCGUGGGGGAUAACGUAGGGAAACUUACGCUAAUACCGCAUACGACCUACGGGUGAAAGCAGGGGAUCUUCGGACCUUUCGAGAUUGAAUGAGCCGAUGUCGGAUUAGCUAGUUGGCUGGGUAAAGGCACACUAAGGCGACGAUCCGUAGCGGGUCUGAGCGGAUGAACAGCAAGAAGGGAAGUGAGACACGGUCCAAACUCAUAAGGGAGGAAGCAGUGGAGAAUAUUGGCAAAGGGGGGAAAGCCUGAUCCAGCAAUACCGGAUGGGUGAAGAACACCUUCGGGUUGUAAAGCCCUUUUGUUGGGAGAGAAAAGAAGCAGGUUAAUACCCCGCGGUUCUGACGGUACCCAAAGAAUAAGCACCGGCUAACUUCGUG